AGUUGCCCAUAACGCCGAAGUUGAUAACGUUGAACUUCAGCUGCAUGUAGCCAACGGAGCAGCCACAGAAAG
rnacentral:snRNA from 15 species